rnacentral:lncRNA from 1 species
UGAAGUCUAUUAUUCUACACCUUGAAUCUAGGCUUGGCUAUGUGGUUUGCUUUGGCCAAUGGAAUAUAAGCAAAAGAAAUGGAAGCAGAGACUUGAGAAGGACUUCUGCAUUGGGACUUUCCCCCUCUUGGUUCUCUUGGGGACUCUUUGAUCACUACCAUGUAAAUAAGCCUAAGCUAACCUGCUGGAUUUUGAGUUACUUCCAACACCCCUGCCAACAGACAACCAUCAUCAGAUAUUUUAGUGAAGAGGCAACCCAGCCAAUACCAUGUGGAGAACAGACAAGCCAUCCCACCUGAGCCCUGACUGCCAACCCAUAGAAUUGGGAGCAAAUAAGUAAUGGGGAACAACUCUUAGCAUUACUGUUCUAAUACUAAAUGGAGUGAAACGCAUUUUGAGAAAAAGGAAGACAGUCAAGAUGCUGAGGACUUGCUAAUGAGGUGCUAGCCUGGACACUGAGAAGAGAAUUUUCAGACGAUACUUAAGUGCCUCCAGAGAAUGAGCUGUUGAUACUGUAUUAGAUGCCAUGAGACAACACCCAGAUGCUCCUUCAAGAUCAAGGAACCCCCCAGCUUUGGGUAGUGUCGCCAGCUGACAGCUUGCCAGCCUUCUCCAGAAAUUGCACUCAGUUGAAGGCUCUACAUGACUACAAGUUCUGAUUCCCAGAUGUAAAAUGUUUCCACCAUGGAACGAACAAGAGUGCCAAUGAAGUUCAAGCUAUGGAUGUCACCUACUCUCUUCAGGCUCCUUUGCUAAGGCCAGUAGGCAAGAUAAGGAGUUGCCAGCCUGGAGGUAAUUCACCCUCACCAACAGGAGGCAGGAGGACUGCUCUUACACAGCAAAUGAUCAUCACAGCAUGCCAGAGGACCUUUGUGCUUCAGUGGCUAAGGGAGUGAUAAGAUUUCAAAGAUAAACUUUGACUUCUUUCUCUAAAAGGAAUUACAGGCUCUUGGAGAAA